rnacentral:rRNA from 2 species
AGACCCGAAACCCGGUGAUCUAGCCAUGGGCAGGUUGAAGGUUGGGUAACACUAACUGGAGGACCGAACCGACUAAUGUUGAAAAAUUAGCGGAUGACCUGUGGCUGGGGGUGAAAGGCCAAUCAAACCGGGAGAUAGCUGGUUCUCCCCGAAAGCUAUUUAGGUAGCGCCUCGUGAAUUCAUCUCCGGGGGUAGAGCACUGUUUCGGCUAGGGGGCCAUCCCGGCUUACCAACCCGAUGCAAACUGCGAAUACCGGAGAAUGUUAUCACGGGAGACACACGGCGGGUGCUAACGUCCGUCGUGAAGAGGGAAACAACCCAGACCGCCAGCUAAGGUCCCAAAGUCAUGGUUAAGUGGGAAACGAUGUGGGAAGGCCCAGACAGCCAGGAUGUUGGCUUAGAAGCAGCCAUCAUUUAAAGAAAGCGUAAUAGCUCACUGGUCGAGUCGGCCUGCGCGGAAGAUGUAACGGGGCUAAACCAUGCACCGAAGCUGCGGCAGCGACGCUGAUGCGUUGUUGGGUAGGGGAGCGUUCUGUAAGCCUGCGAAGGUGU